UCCCACUUCUUUCGCAACUAAUCUUCUUCACUCUAAUGUAGAGCAGCUUCGCGAUGCUCGAAUUACACUCUUUCUUUUACUCAUUCUCAUUUUUGGAGGUUGGAAAAAAGUUAACGCGCAAUUUCAUAUGUCCUCUUUGGUGCCGUUCUGUGAGUGAAACGGCGAGAUGUGUGGAGGAAUAAGAAGAAAUAGAUGGGUACAGGCUGACCGGUUGAGACCAUUUCUGAUGUGUGUGCUAAGGAGGUGGCUUUUGUAUGUGCAUACAUACAUACAUACACAUGUGUGUGUGUUUAGGGUAAUUUGAAUAGCCUAUAAUUGACAAUUGCAAAUGGAAAAAGCAAGUGCAAGUGCAAGUGCGCGAAAAGACGAAUCGGGCCAAGACAAGGCUAGCGACCAGCUGGCCGCAAAGUUGUCUUUUGGCUUUAAAUCAAAAAACAAGUGCAGUAAAAAGUGGCAACAGCAACAGCAACAGCAACAAAAGCAGCGCCAUUUAACGGCUGUCAUUGUUGAUGGUGCAGUGGUUUUCAGCUGCGACGUUCGUGUUUGAUCAAGAUCAAGGCUGCAGUGUGUCGUGUGUGUGUCUGUGUGUGGUUGUACAAAAAAUACAACAAAUACUGACCUCCAGUUAGCCAGCAAUUAAAACAGCAUUAUAAAAUAGGUCAAUGCACGUUUUAUCCUUUACCGUAAUUGAUUUACAUGCUGUUUUUUUUUCGGUUUGUUUGUUUUUCGAUUUUGUGUGGAUGAACUUUUAAAAUAUUCCACCUCCACCGCCUACCGGCCACCGGUUUCGUCUAGCGCAAAAUGCGUCGUAAAAAUACGAUCCACUACAAAAAUCAGCGAAAAUACAAAAAAAAAAAAAACUGAAAAUAAAAUAACAUUAUCUGUCUUCUGCUGUGUAUAUAAUAUACAUAUGUAUGUAAAUUGUUCACGACAAAGCCCCGCGCCAAAGGCAAAGCCCGUCGAAGUUGUCGUCUAGAAUUCGUAAUACAUUCUUUGCACCCUCUCCCUGCGAAUGGGGGAUGGAUCUUUGAUGCUACGACUGGCAAAUCGGGUAGAUGAACUCGCCUGAAAAGGGAUUCAAAGUACACACAUAGUGCAACGCAUCACCUGAUCUGCCGUAUAACAUUUGCUUUGAUCUCAGGAUCGGUGUAUAUGUAUCUACUCUGCCUUACUACCAUAUAUAUUUACAUAUAGUAUGUAUGGAUGUGUGUAUGCGGGUGGCACCUGAGCGAGAAGUACGCCCACCCAACAGCUGUCGUUGCUAUCGGCCAUGGGCGUUCAACUUGUUGUUUAUGGAAAACUACUUAAAAAACAACAGAAAGAGCAACAGAGGCAACAGAAAAGCGAAGCACAACCAAAACAAAACAAAAAGAUUUUCAGCCACAAAAAGUUACAAAAACCAGAGAAAAAACCAAAGAGGUGAAACGGAAAGAUACUGUGGCUGCAAAAUCGAAUUCCAAACGCAUUCUGAGCUUAUCGCAUAUGGAAUUCCUGUCAUGCACGACGACGACAACGACAACGACGACGACGACGAUGACGACAUUCCCCUCUUCAGUCUUCUGCUUGAAGCUGAUUCUUCUUCGGGUCCCGCCGUAGCCCCCAUCUUGGGGUUCUGUGUGUCUAAUUGCAAAUGCCAAACACGUUGACAGGGGCGGCAACGGCGAACGGCAACGAACGUUGUCAAGCAGCUCAGCCCAUGUACAUGGGGGAUAUAUUGUAUGUAAAUAAUGUACACGAGUACAUACAUAGGUACUCGUACAGCAACAAAUUGAACAAUACCCACAGACCCAACCCAUGUCGGAGCCCCAAAGCGUUUAAGGCUGCGUUUUAAGUUAGGGCCACAGAAACACACAAUCUUUGUUGCACGAACAGACUAUUAUUAUGAGAUGAUCAAGCGUUUAACCUCAAUAGUUUUAAGAACGCACUGCAGAGACAUGCAACAGGUGCUCAUUCUUAUUUGUUUAUUGUUUAUUUGGGAAAUUGUGGUUCCAAAUUUAGGUUUUUAAGUGUAAAAGUGUGUAAAAAUGAAACGUCUCAUCCAUUUUCAAUGUCGUCUAUCUUCAGAAAAUCCCUCAAUGGAAUCGGAUAACCUAUUUAGGCCCUCACCCACUUGGCCAGCGAAUGCAACCACCGCCCACACAACCGCUGAACCGCUGAACCACUGAACCAUCAUUCUAUCUAUCUAUCUAUCUAUCUAUAAAACCCAUCGAAAUGUAUGUAUGCUUUCGCAAAAAGAAAAAAAAAAUGAUUGCAAAUGUCAAACAAAAUUUAAUAGAGCAUGAAACGGCAUGAAAUCCAUUGAAAAAAAAAGAGAAGGAGAGGGAGAGAUGAGCGAAAUGAGAUGGAAAUAUAUGCGAGUGCAAAGUGUCAUCGAUUAGCUGACAGACAGCCAAUCAAUUCCAUUCCAUUUCGAUUCCAUUCGAUUCGAUGGUGACAAGUGCAUUUCUUUCAAAGGUGGCACAGGAGCAAGGCAAGCGUUGAGGAGAGCCCAGCACACAAAGAUACAAUAUGGAGAGAAUGAGAAUAGGAACACCUUGAUCGAUAGCAGAUGCCUGGGACUGGAACUGGCACUGGCACUGGCACUUGGACUGGGUUCGGGAUCGGGACCCUUGUCAAAGAAGCUUCCUGUUUGGGGUCGAUCCUGCCAAAUUGAUGAAUGCAUCCGUUUGAAGAAAGGCAGCCAGGCAGGAAGGAAGUGGCGAGUCCUCACAGAGCUUCUAACAGGUGCUUUCCCAUCAUUCCCCUGGGUCCUAAUGUGCGAUCCUCCUCCCUCUGUGUCUCCAUCUCCAUCUCUCUCUCUCUAUCCCUGACAAUUCCAAAACAAAUUAUGUAGUGUAGUGUAAAAGCUUAAACAGCGAACCCUUUUCCGCUGCCUGGUGCUUGUAGCAUUUAGCAAUUCUAAUGCCGAAAGGGAUACCGAACACUGUCCAUGCCCAAACCCUUACCCUUACCCUUACCUUACCUUAAGUGUGGUUCCAACCCAUUUGCAACACGAUCCGAUCCUCGAUCCUCGAUCCUCUCUUUUUUUCCCUCUGUUUCCAGCUCUGAUCAAGAUCUGGCCCUGGAACCUUGCGGGCAGUCUAUAAAUUUAUUGCCUAAGCGCUUCUCCCUCUCUUUUGUCUUUUGUCUGCUGUUUGUUUCUGUUUCUUCACUCUGCUUAAAUGAAUUUGUCUCUAACGCCCAAUUUGGCUUUUGGCUCUUCCUCUUCCGUUGGUUUUCGUUGGGUUUUCGGAUGCGGUGUGGGGCAGCUGCUGUUGAUAGUUCGAUUUCUAAGGGUUUCAAGGUCUUUAUUAGGCCCUUCCGUCUCGGGUUACCAUCUCAUUCUCUCGUGUUGUCUGGCUCUGGGGACGCGACUUAAAAUGCAUUAAGUGCCGUGCAAUUAAGUCUUAUCGAUGCCCGAAAAUCUGCCCAUCUUGAUUGCUAUAUAUAACUAUAUAUACGUAUACCCCCAUACCCCAUACAUGCGUAUAAGUAUAUGAAUUAUAAAUUGCCGACGCGUUAACAAAAUAAUUUCGUUUAACUUAAUUACUUUUUGUUUUUUUUCGGCGCUGAAGCUUUAUUCCCUUUUUUUGCUCUCAUUUCAGUGCAGGAAUGGAAUGCAGAUAUUUUGGGUUCCUUCUUGUUCUAAGUUUUCUUUCCAAGUCUUUUGUUUGUUUCGUAGAUCUUUGAUUCUGAUUUACCCUAUCAUUUGAAGUAUUUUAGAAUGAACCACCAGAAGAGCUUGUUGAUGUGAUUUAACGUUUUAUAAACAGUAAGCACCAAUUGUACAACUGUACCGAUUCGGACAUGCUUUUCAAACAUUCUGCCUGCUUGCGACUGCUUACUUAUCUACCACUUUCCCGCCUAACACGGCUUUGCUUCUUAAUCACCGAUCACUGCUGGAUUUUAUAGAAUACUUCCACUGCUUACUGGCUCUAAGCUUCGCUCAAGAGCAGCUACUUCAAACCUGCACUCGCAAAAAUUUCUCGCUGCUUCCACUGCUUUGAUAACUGAACGGUUUUGGCUUCUGCUUCUGGCUGGCUUACUGCAGCUGGCACUGCUUGCUGUUUCAAGGUCAGGAAUGCAACGAAUUGUUACUGCCUGGCCUGCCUUUUUGUGGCUGCUGUUGUUAAAUGUUGGUUAAGCAUUUAGUGUUGUGUGUGAGAUAUCGCUGCUCGUCAUCAUAAUCAUCAUCAUCAUCAUCGACAUUCACAUCAUCUCUACGACAUCUCCAACAGCGCGCAGGGCCUUCGACUUGGAGCGUCUUAAAUUGCAAACCACAUUGACAUAAGCAUUUCUGUGUGUGGUGUGUGGUGUGUGUGUGUAUAGAGCGGCAGCGGCAACAAAGUUACAGCAACCGAAGUUACACCAACAAAUAAUACAACAACAAAAGAAGCAGCAGAGAAAACAUACACCAACAACAGUUACACCACAAACUGAAAGAACAAACUACACCAACAACAAAUGCAGGCAUCCACGGGAGACAGCGAACAGGCAACAGCGGAGAGAUGAGAGUUCGUCGUCUGCCAGUUUCUGACCCACAUUUGCAUACAGUAAACACACACAGAAAACGAAAAACGAAACUGAAACUGAAACGUGUUGCGUUGGAGGGCGUGUGAUUGGUGUGAGAAGCAAGGAGAGAGAGAGAGUCGAAAUGAAGGAACGGACAGCGGCGGACAGCAGCGGACAGCAGCGGAAAGCAGCGGACAGCAUCCCCCCAACUGUACCGCUCUCAUUGGUGUACCCACUCCCAUUGUAACCAGCUUAGUCGUAACCGUUUUUACUGCGCCACCCACCCUUCCUUCCUUCGCUCUGACUUGUUUCUUACUGAACUUUGCCCCCUUUUUAACCUAUGUAGGCACCCUUCCGCGAUCCAUCGCGAUCUCAUGCUCACCAAACACCUGACUUCUCCGUUGACUUCUCCUGACUUCUUUACCAUUUGUACUAUCUAUCACUGUAAUGUUCCCAAAUGAUUGUACCAUACCUCAUUGCAGCACAGUGUCUUGUACCCCGAUCGAUUACCUGUAUUCACUCUUUUUUUUUGGUGGAUUUUGUUACAAAUAUUAAAUUAUGCGUAUAAAAUGUA